CGUCUCAAAAAAAAAAAAAGAAAAAAAAAAAGAUAUAAAAUAUUAUAAAAAUAGUUAAUAAAGGCAGUAGCAGGUUUUAAGAGGACUGACUCCAAAUUUGAAAAAAAGUUCUAUUAUGGGGAAAAUGCUACCAAAUAGCAUUGCAUUCUUCAGAUAAUUAUUUUUUGAAAGGAAGAGUACAUUGAUGUGGUAAUCUUCAUUGUUAUUUUUGAAAAUGUUCACAGCUACCCCACCGUUUAUGAGCCAUCACCCUGAUCCAUCAGCAGCCAUCAACAUCAAGGCAAGACCCUCCACCAGAAAAAAAAGAUAACAACUCACUGAAAGCUUACAUGAUGAAUUGAAGAGAGUUAGUGUGUCUGGAAUUGGUUCCUUCUGGUUGGUUCUUGGUCUCACUGACUUCAAGAAUGAAGCCGCGGACCUUCGGGGUGAGUGUUACAGCUCUUAAAGAUGGCAUGUCCUGAGUUUGUUCCUUCAGAUGUGUCCAGAGUUUCUUCCUUCCAGUGGGUUCAUGGUCUUGCUGACUUCAAGAAUGAAGCUGCGGACCUUUGCAGCGAGUGUUACAGCUCUUAAAGGUGGUGCAGACCCAAGAGUGAGCAGCAGCAAGAUUUAUUGUGAAGAGCAAAGCUUCCACAGUGUGGAAGGGGUCCCGAGUGGGUUGCUGCUGCUGGCUGGGGUGGCCAGCUUUUAUUCCCUUAUUUGUCCCUUCCCAUGUCCUGCUGAUUGGUCUAUUUUACAGAGCGCUGAUUGAUCCAUUUUACAGGGGGCUGAUUGGUCCAUUUCACAGAGUGCUGAUUGGUGCGUUUACAAUCCUUUAGCUAGACACAGAGUGCUGAUUUGGUGCAUUUUUACAGAGUGCUGAUUGGUGUGUUUACAAUCCUUUAGCUAGACCCAGAGCGCUGAUGGUGCGUUUUUACAGAGUGCUAUGCUUUUACAAUCCUUUAGCUAGACACAGAGCACUGAUUGGUGCAUUUACAAUCCUCUAGCUAGACAGAAAAGUUCUCCAAGUCCCCACUCGACCCAGGAAGUCCAGCUGGCUUCACCUCUCAUUAGGACAUUGCUCUGGAUUACACUUUGU
rnacentral:lncRNA from 10 species